UACGGAAGGCAGCAGUGGGGAAUAUUGCACAAUGGGCGAAAGCCUGAUGCAGCUAUGCCGCGUGUAUGAAGAAGGCCUUAGGGUUGUAAAGUACUUUCAUCGGGGAGGAAAAAACAAAACUAAUAAUUUUAUUUCUUGACGUUACCCGAAAAAGAAGCACCGGCUAACUCCGUGCCAGCAGCCGCGGUAAUACGGAGGGUGCUAGCGUUAAUCAGAAUUACUGGGCGUAAAGAGCACGUAGGUGGUUUUUUUAAGUCAGAUGUGAAAUCCCUGGGCUUAACCUGGAACUGCAUUUUGAAACUGAAAUACUAGAGUAUCGUAGAGGGAGGUAGAAUUCUAGGUGUAGCGGUGAAAUGCGUAGAUAUCUGGAGGAAUACCUGUGGCGAAAGCGGCCUCCUAAACGAAUACUGACACUGAGGUGCGAAAGCGUGGGGAGCGAAACAGGGAUUAGGAU
rnacentral:rRNA from 1 species